AUAGCCGCAGGUUACCCCGCCUCCGAAACCGAACCAAACCAAACCAAACCAAACGUAGGACACGCGGUUCCGCCCUAUUCCGAGCGGCCAAUUCCUUCCUGUUCUGCAGCAAUGUCCCGGGGAAAAAUCGUCAAGUAGCAGGCAGACCUCUUAAAACGUCAUCAAGCGCCAUAAUGAGGAAAGACGAUAUGCCGCACAUAAACCGGGCAGGGAAGAGAUUUUUCGCAUAAUAGAUUUUAUGAGCAUUGUUUCACCACUCAAUUACGCUUCGUCAGGCCAACAACGAGGACAGUGCCGUGGGGUUUCUCCAGAGCGCCGGAGGAAUGGAACCAACCAACAACGGCGAAAAAUAAAACAAAAAAUCUUGCAUGGAACGGGACAGCAGCAGCGAAUAAAGGACAAUAGCAAUUCAAUGCGACCUCUAUUGGAGAAUCCCCCAUCAUAUCGUGCAUAUUCAUGGAGGGAUGCUGAAACUAAAUGGUACCGGAAGAGUGCCUUUUCAAAAUAGCAGAAAAAAACGAAAAAAGGGUAACCCGCCGAAUGGCAGAAAGCAAACAACGAACGCAACAAAACAGAAUCGAGCAAAGAAAACGUCACACACAAGAAGCAACAACAACAACAACAAAAUGCUAGGAACCCAUUCAAGCUUAUUGGUUGAUUAGGUUGUUAUCCUUAAUGUAUGCUCAGGGCAGGACCCUCCGUGCCAAAUAAGACUGAAGCCAUAACAUGUAAGCAUCCUGGGAAAUGAAAAACCUGCGUUUUUAAUUUUUCUUUUCAACAUAGUAUGCAUAGAACAUGCAUUGCAGAUACUAAUACGGCCAGACCAACCAUGUUGUAAAUACCGCAAAAGAUACUGGAACAAAGGGAAGAAUAAAGCGUGGAGUUCCCUGCCAAACGCUUAAUAUGGAUUAUAAAUAAAUAUAUGUUGAUGAUUUAAGAACUGGAACGCAACUAUUUGAA